rnacentral:lncRNA from 1 species
UUUGGUUCUUAUCCACAGCCUGUUCCAUCUUAUAUGUCUCCUCCAUAUGUGCCUACACCAGCAGCUCCUCCUGCUACUAAUGAUGGUCUCAUUCAGCACAUUCAGGAUUAUUCACCACAGCAACUUCAACAACUUAUAUCACAAUUUAACACUCAAGUAUCAGUUCCAGAGCCUUUAACUACUUCUAAUACAGCAAAGGUCACUGAACAUGGCUUUAUGGCUCAGACAUCAACUUCUGGUACUAUUUCCUUUCCUUCAACUAGUCUUAAAUACGAGAAUAAUGAUCUCAUUUUUCAAACACAUACUCUCUCUUCUUUACAAAAAUUACUUCCACAUGAUGCUUGGAUUAUUGACAGUGGAGCUUCUAGCCAUGUGUGUUCUGAUCUAGCAAUGUUUAGGGAAUUAGUACAUGUUUCUAGUAUCACAGUGACUCUUCCGAAUGGUACUAGGGUUCCUAUUACACACACUGGCACAAUUUGCAUUUCACAAACAUUGAUAUUGCAUAAUGUACUUCAUGUCCCUGAUUUUAAAUUCAAUUUCAUUAGUGUUAGUUGUUUGGUUAAAUCUCUUUUCUGUUCUGCUCAUUUCUUUCCAACUUGUUGUCUUAUUCAGGAACUUUCUC